rnacentral:rRNA from 1 species
UAGAGCUUGAUCAUGGCUCAGAUUGAACGCUGGCGGCAGGCCUAACACAUGCAAGUCGAGCGGCAGCACGGGUACUUGUACCUGGUGGCGAGCGGCGGACGGGUGAGUAAUGCCUAGGAAUCUGCCUGGUAGUGGGGGAUAACGCUCGGAAACGGACGCUAAUACCGCAUACGUCCUACGGGAGAAAGCAGGGGACCUUCGGGCCUUGCGCUAUCAGAUGAGCCUAGGUCGGAUUAGCUAGUUGGUGAGGUAAUGGCUCACCAAGGCGACGAUCCGUAACUGGUCUGAGAGGAUGAUCAGUCACACUGGAACUGAGACACGGUCCAGACUCCUACGGGAGGCAGCAGUGGGGAAUAUUGGACAAUGGGCGAAAGCCUGAUCCAGCCAUGCCGCGUGUGUGAAGAAGGUCUUCGGAUUGUAAAGCACUUUAAGUUGGGAGGAAGGGCAUUUACCUAAUACGUAAGUGUUUUGACGUACCGACAG